CCUACGGGUGGCAGCAGUCGAGAAUCAUUCACAAUGGGGGAAACCCUGAUGGUGCGACGCCGCGUGGGGGAAUGAAGGUCUUCGGAUUGUAAACCCCUUUCAUGUGGGAGCAAAUUAAAAAGAUAGUACCACAAGAGGAAGAGACGGCUAACUCUGGGCCAGCAGCCGCGGUAAUACAGAGGUCUCAAGCGUUGUUCGGAAUCACUGGGCGUAAAGGGUGCGUAGGCUGUUUCGUAAGUCGUGUGUGAAAGGCGCGGGCUCAACCCGCGGACGGCACAUGAUACUGCGAGACUAGAGUAAUGGAGGGGGAACCGGAAUUCUUGGUGUAGCAGUGAAAUGCGUAGAUAUCGAGAGGAACACUCGUGGCGAAGGCGGGUUCCUGGACAUUAACUGACGCUGAGGCACGAAGGCCAGGGGAGCGAAAGGGAUUAGAUACCCCAGUAGUC
rnacentral:rRNA from 1 species